rnacentral:rRNA from 1 species
CCCUUAGAGUUUGAUCCUGGCUCAGAUUGAACGCUGGCGGAAUGCUUUACACAUGCAAGUCGAACGGCAGCACGGGGGCAACCCUGGUGGCGAGUGGCGAACGGGUGAGUAAUACAUCAGAACGUGCCCAGUCGUGGGGGAUAACGUAGCGAAAGCUACGCUAAUACCGCAUACGAUCUACGGAUGAAAGCGGGGGAUCGCAAGACCUCGCGCGAUUGGAUCGGCCGAUGGCAGAUUAGGUAGUUGGUGGGGUAAAGGCUCACCAAGCCGACGAUCUGUAGCUGGUCUGAGAGGACGACCAGCCACACUGGGACUGAGACACGGCCCAGACUCCUACGGGAGGCAGCAGUGGGGAAUUUUGGACAAUGGGCGCAAGCCUGAUCCAGCCAUUCCGCGUGCAGGAUGAAGGCCCUCGGGUUGUAAACUGCUUUUGUACGGAACGAAACGGCCUGCUCUAAUACAGCGGGCUAAUGACGGUACCGUAAGAAUAAGCACCGGCUAACUACGUGCCAGCAGCCGCGGUAAUACGUAGGGUGCAAGCGUUAAUCGGAAUUACUGGGCGUAAAGCGUGCGCAGGCGGUUAUGUAAGACAGAUGUGAAAUCCCCGGGCUCAACCUGGGAACUGCAUUUGUGACUGCAUAGCUAGAGUACGGUAGAGGGGGAUGGAAUUCCGCGUGUAGCAGUGAAAUGCGUAGAUAUGCGGAGGAACACCGAUGGCGAAGGCAAUCCCCUGGACCUGUACUGACGCUCAUGCACGAAAGCGUGGGGAGCAAACAGAUUAGAUACCCUGGUAGUCACGCCCUAACGAUGUCAACUGGUUGUGGGUCUCACUGACUCAGUACGAAGCUAACGCGUGAGUGACCGCCUGGGGAG